GACGAACGCUGGCGGCGUGUUUAACACAUGCAAGUCGAACGGAAAGGCCCCUUUGGGGGUACUCGAGUGGCGAACGGGUGAGUAACACGUGAGUAACCUGCCCUUGACUUCGGGAUAACUUCAGGAAACUGGGGCUAAUACCGGAUAGGAAUCCUUGCUGCAUGGUGGGGGUUGGAAAGCUUCGGCGGUUUUGGAUGGACUCGCGGCUUAUCAGCUUGUUGGUGGGGUAGUGGCUUACCAAGGCUUUGACGGGUAGCCGGCCUGAGAGGGCGACCGGCCACAUUGGGACUGAGAUACGGCCCAGACUCCUACGGGAGGCAGCAGUGGGGAAUAUUGCACAAUGGGCGGAAGCCUGAUGCAGCAACGCCGCGUGCGGGAUGACGGCCUUCGGGUUGUAAACCGCUUUCAGCAGGGGCGAAGCUUGUGGUGACGGUACCUGCAGAAGAAGCACCGGCUAACUACGUG
rnacentral:rRNA from 1 species